AUUCCAGCUCCAAUAGCGUAUACUAAAGUUGUUGCAGUUAAAAAGCUCGUAGUUGAAUUUCUGGUCGUGGCGAUCGGUCCGCCCCUCACGGGGUGUGCACCUGGUCUCUACGUCCAUCCUCGGGGAGAGCGCGCCUGGCAUUCAGUUGUCGGGCGUGGGAUCCUCGUCAUUUACUGUGAGCAAAAUAGAGUGUUCAAAGCAGGCUUAGGCCGUUGAAUACAUUAGCAUGGAAUAAUAAGAUAGGACCUUGGUCUAUUUUGUUGGUUUGCAUUCCAAGGUAAUGAUUAAUAGGGAUAGUUGGGGGUAUUCGUAUUCAAUUGUCAGAGGUGAAAUUCUUGGAUUUAUGGAAGACGAACUACUGCGAAAGCAUUUACCAAGGAUGUUUUCAUCA
rnacentral:rRNA from 1 species